rnacentral:rRNA from 1 species
CCUACGGGUGGCAGCAGUGGGGAAUAUUGCACAAUGGGGGAAACCCUGAUGCAGCGACGCCGCGUGAAGGAAGAAGGCUUUCGGUAUGUAAACUUCUAUCAGCAGGGAAGAAAAUGACGGUACCUGACUAAGAAGCCACGGCUAACUACGUGACAGCAGCCGCGGCAAUACGUAGGGGGCAAGCGUUAUCCGGAUUUACUGGGUGUAAAGGGAGCGUAGGCGGCAUGGCAGGUAUGGUGUGAAAGGCAGGGGCUCAACCCCUGGACUGCAUGUGAAACUGUCAGGCUUGAGUGCAGGAGAGGUAAGUGGAAUUCCUAGUGUAGCGGUGAAAUGCGUAGAUAUUAGGAGGAACACCAGUGGCGAAGGCGGCUUACUGGACUGUAACUGACGCUGAGGCUCGAAAGCGUGGGGAGCAAACAGGAUUAGAUACCCCUGUAGUC